rnacentral:rRNA from 1 species
UACGUAGGUGGCAAGCGUUGUCCGGAUUUAUUGGGCGUAAAGGGAGCGCAGGCGGUGACUUAAGUCUGAUGUGAAAGCCCACGGCUCAACCGUGGAAGGUCAUUGGAAACUGGGUCACUUGAAUGGAGCAGAGGAGAACGGAAUUCCAUGUGUAGCAGUGAAAUGCGUAGAUAUAUGGAGGAACACCAGUGGCGAAGGCGGUUCUCUGGGCUCACAUUGACGCUGAGGCUCGAAAGCGUGGGGAGCGAACAGG